UACGUAGGGCGCAAGCGUUGUCCGGAAUUAUUGGGCGUAAAGAGCUCGUAGGCGGUUUGUCGCGUCUGCUGUGAAAACCUAAGGCUCAACCUCGGGCCUGCAGUGGGUACGGGCAGACUAGAGUGCGGUAGGGGAGACUGGAAUUCCUGGUGUAGCGGUGAAAUGCGCAGAUAUCAGGAGGAACACCGGUGGCGAAGGCGGGUCUCUGGGCCGUAACUGACGCUGAGGAGCGAAAGCGUGGGGAGCGAACAGG
rnacentral:rRNA from 1 species